CCUACGGGUGGCAGCAGUGGGGAAUAUUGCACAAUGGGGGAAACCCUGAUGCAGCGACGCCGCGUGAGUGAAGAAGUAAUUCGUUAUGUAAAGCUCUAUCAGCAGGGAAGAAAAUGACGGUACCUGAGGAAGAAUCAGCGGCUAACUACGUGCCAGCAGCCGCGGUAAUACGUAGGGGGCAAGCGGUAUCCGGAUUUACUGGGUGUAGGGGGAGCGUAGACGGCAGUGCAAGUCUGGAGUGAAAGGCGGGGGCUCAACCCCCGGACUGCUUUGGAAACUGUACGGCUGGAGUGCAGGAGAGGUAAGUGGAAUUCCGUGUGUAGCGGUGAAAUGCGUAGAUAUACGGAGGAAAACCAGUGGCGAAGGCGGAUUACUGGACUGUAACUGACGUUGAGGCUCGAAAGCGUGGGGAGCAAACAGGAUUAGAUACCCUUGUAGUC
rnacentral:rRNA from 1 species